AUUGAACGCUGGCGGCAGGCCUAACACAUGCAAGUCGAGCGGAGCGGCGGACGGGUAAGUAAGGCCUAGGAAUCGGCCUGGGAGCGGGGGAUAGGGUCCGGAAACGGGCGCUAAUGCCGCAUACUCUCAGCAGAGCCUAGGUCGGAUUAGCUAGAUGGUGGGGUAAAGGCAUACCAAGGCGACGAUCCGGAACUGGUCUGAGAGGAUGAUCAGGCACACUGGAACUGAGACACGGUCCAGACUCCUACGGGAGGCAGCAGGGGGGAAUAUUGGACAAUGGGCGAAAGCCUGAUCCAGCCAGGCCGCGUGUGUGAAGAAGGUCUUCGGAUUGUAAAGCACUUUAAGUUGGGAGGCGUUACCAACAGAAUAAGCACCGGCUAACUUCGUGCCAGCAGCCGCGGUAAUUC
rnacentral:rRNA from 1 species